rnacentral:rRNA from 1 species
CGGGUGAGUAACACGUGGAUAACCUACCUAUAAGACUGGGAUAACUUCGGGAAACCGGAGCUAAUACCGGAUAAUAUAUUGAACCGCAUGGUUCAAUAGUGAAAGACGGUUUUGCUGUCACUUAUAGAUGGAUCCGCGCUGCAUUAGCUAGUUGGUAAGGUAACGGCUUACCAAUGCAACGAUGCGUAGCCGACCUGAGAGGGUGAUCGGCCACACUGGAACUGAGACACGGUCCAGACUCCUACGGGAGGCAGCAGGC